rnacentral:rRNA from 1 species
UAGGCGUACGGGUGAGUAACACGUGGAUCAUCUACCUCUUAGUGGGGAAUAACUCUGGGAAACCGGAGCUAAUACCGCAUAAGCCUGGAAAGGGAAAAGCAGGAAUGCGCUGAGAGAGGAGUCCGCGGCCGAUUAGCUAGUUGGCAGGGUAAAAGCCUACCAAGGCAUUGAUCGGUAGCCGGCCUGAGAGGGCACACGGCCACACUGGCACUGAAACACGGGCCAG